GGGGAAUCCAAAGAAAAGGAAACUGGAAUUACCACUGAUUUUUCUGCGGCCUCAAAAAAGUUAAGCGGUUGCAACUGGAAUCUACGCAGCCGCUGCUUCCGGUGCAGCUUCAACAGCCGCCGCCACCGGCGCAGCGGCAGCAGCAGCACUGCCUUCCACCAAUACCCAGUUGCCGUUGGGACCGGUUGCGCUGCCCUGGUUGCCUCCUUUGCCGGGGGUAUCGAAGAGGACUUCGCUGGUAAACAGGCGAUGGUUGCCGAAGUUUUCAUCCUUGAUGAAACUGUCAAACAGUGGUCCGGUCAGAUCAUUUUGAUGAGGGUGAUCGGGUUGAAGAGCGUGCGGUUGACACAGAUGUAGCUGGUGAUGUUGCCGUUGGGGGUCGCAGCGAUGGAAGGUCGCGGUAUACUGCACAAAUGCACAAAUUGCGGUGUGUAAGCGAAAUUUAGAACUGAAUGGUGAAUGAUGUGGCACUGAACGGUAAGGUCGACAUUCAAAAUUAAUUAAGCAUUAACGUAACAAAUUUAGCUUCCAGUCAGUGAAAUGCUUUCCCUCGUGAAAAUAAAAGUUACUAAAAACAUCCAGUUACCAAAAGAAGUACUUGUAAAGUUACGCUAAACUUACAAAAAAGUUUUCAUGACAGCCGAUUAUAACUUGGACCUUUCACAUAACUUACGGAAUACUUCAAGUUGGUCAAAAGUUACUUACUCGUAUUACAGCACUGACGCACAGUCACGCACUGUUUGAAAAUUUAUUUUUUGUAAUCUUAAGCAUAAUAAGCAGUCACCAAUGGACGUAAGUUGCUACUUUAUACAGCGCAACUGCACAAAAACA